rnacentral:rRNA from 1 species
UACGAAGGGGGUCUAGCGUUGCUCGGAAUCACUGGGCGUAAAGGGUGCGUAGGCGGGUCUUUAAGUCAGGGGUGAAAUCCUGGAGCUCAACUCCAGAACUGCCUUUGAUACUGAAGAUCUUGAGUUCGGGAGAGGUGAGUGGAACUGCGAGUGUAGAGGUGAAAUUCGUAGAUAUUCGCAAGAACACCAGUGGCGAAGGCGGCUCACUGGCCCGAUACUGACGCUGAGGAGCGAAAGCG